AUGCCACCAGAUAGAGACAUUGAGUUUUUGAUUGAACUUCUGCCAGGCACAGGACCAAUAUCUAAGAGACCGUACAGGAUGCCCGCAAAGGAUUUGGAGGAAAUUAAGAAGCAGAUCAAGGAGUUACUGGAUAAAGGAUAUAUUCGCCCAAGUUCGUCACCUUGGGGAUCACCAGUACUUCUAGUGGAGAAGAAAGAUGGAUCGCUGAGGAUGGUUGUUGAUUACCGAGGAUUGAAUGAAGUGACCAUCAAGAACAAGUACCCACUGCCGAUGAUCAAUGAUUUGUUUGACCGCUUGCAAGGAGCUAAAGUAUUUUCCAAGAUCGAUUUACGAUCAGGAUACCAUCAGUUAAAGAUUCGAGAGCAGGAUAUACCCAAGACGGCAUUUACCACCAGAUAUGGAUUGUAUGAGUAUACCAUUAUGUCAUUUGGACUGACUAACGCACCUGCCUAUUUCAUGAACCUGAUGAACAAAGUGUUUAUGGAGUUUUUGGAUAAGUUCGUCGUGGUGUUCAUUGAUGAUAUUUUAAUCUUUUCCAAGGAUGAAGAAGAGCAUGAGGAGCAUUUACGAUUGGUACUUGAGAAGCUCAGAGAACAUCAGUUAUAUGCCAAGUUCAGCAAAUGUGAGUUUUGGCUGAAGGAAGUUGGAUUCCUUGGACAUGUUAUUUCUGGAGAAGGAAUACCAGUAGACCCUGCCAAGGUUGACACAGUGACAAGUUGGGAAUCACCCACGACAGUUGGAGAAAUCCGGAGUUUUCUUGGACUUGCAGGAUACUACCGGAGAUUCAUCGAGAAUUUCUCGAAGAUUGCUAAGCCCAUGACUGAGCUAUUGAAGAAGGACACCCAAUUCAAUUGGACUGAGGAAUGUGAAGAUAGUUUCCAGGAGUUGAAGAAACGAUUGGUUACAUCACCAGUGUUGAUUCUGCCCGAUCAACGCAAGGACUAUGAAGUUUAUUGCGACGCUUCUCGUCGAGGACUUGGAGCAGUGCUUAUGCAGGAAGGAAGAGUUGUGUCAUAUGCUUCACGACAACUU
rnacentral:rRNA from 1 species